GACGUAGGGGGCGAGCGUUGUCCGGAUUUAUUGGGCGUAAAGAGCUCGUAGGCGGCUCGUUGCGUCGGCUGUGAAAACCCGCAGCUCAACUGUGGGCUUGCAGCCGAUACGGGCGGGCUGGAGUUCGGUAGGGGAGACUGGAAUUCCUGGUGUAGCGGUGAAAUGCGCAGAUAUCGGGAGGAACACCGGUGGCGAAGGCGGUUCUCUGGGCCUUACCUGACGCUGAGGAGCGAAAGCGUGGGGAGCGAACAGG
rnacentral:rRNA from 1 species